AAAGAACGCUGGCGGCAUGCCUAACACAUGCAAGUCGAACGAACACCUCUAGCUUGCUAGAGAAUGUUAGUGGCAAACGGGUGAGUAACACGUAGGAAUUUACCUUGCAGUAAGGAAUAACAGUUGGAAACGACUGCUAAUACCAUAUACGCUCUUCGGAGGAAAGAUUUAUCGCUGUAAGAUGAGCCUGCGCUAGAUUAGGUUGUUGGUAGGGUAAUGGCCUACCAAGCUGAUGAUCUAUAGCUGGUCUGAGAGGACGAUCAGCCACACUGGAACUUAGAUACGGUCCAGACUCCUACGGGAGGCAGCAGUGGGGAAUAUUGGACAAUGGGCGAAAGCCUGAUCCAGCAAUGCCGCGUGAAUGAUGAAGGCCUUAGGGUUGUAAAGUUCUUUCAGUGGGGAAGAAAGUGACGGUACCCACAGAAGAAGCUCCGGCUAACUCCG
rnacentral:rRNA from 1 species